ACAAAAAGCAAAGACUCCUCUUGAUUGGUGGAAUGCUUUUGGUGGACUUAGCAUUGAGCUUCAAACACUAGCAAUGCGCAUCACAAGCCUUUGUUGUUCAUCUUCCGGUUGUGAGCGCAAUUGGAGCACAUUUGAAUUUAUCCAUACAAAGAAAAGAAACCGCUUAGAGCAUAAGAGAUUGAACGACUUGGUUUAUGUUCAAUACAAUCGCAAAAUUGCAAGUAGGUUUCAAAAGAUGCGUGAACAAGGCUCCAACUUUAAUCCAUUGGUCUUAGAAGAGUUCCAAUGGGACAAUGAAUGGAUUAAUGGUGGUGAAUCUAGUGAUGAUGUUCAUCCCGG